CCAUGUAUUUCACAAGCUAUGUGACACAUAGAUGAUACAGACAGACAGAGACACAGAGAGACAGACAGACAGACAGACAGAGACAGAGACAGAGACAGAGAGAAAUAGAAGAUAUAAACCACUUAAUUUCCAUUAUUCCUCAUGACCACAGCAAACAAGAAGACCAAAGGAAAAGGAAGAAAACCGGAAGGAAAAGUGAACUACAUCUCCUAGCCCUUUAAAAGACCUCUUCCUCUUAUUACUUUUAUGAGCUUAGUUAGCAAGCAUUUAAGUACCUACUGUGACCCCAACCUUGUUAAAAGCAAGGCAAGGAUACAAGAGAAGCAGUUCAUAUUCUCAAGGAAAAGGUUUACCUCUGGGGAACAUCAGGUCUAGAAGAGACCAGAGAGAUCAUCAAAUCCUCCUUCUUUGUCCUGCAGAGGAAUACACUUAACUGCACACAGGCAAAAGGACUGCCAAAGUCUAUACAGUCAGAGAACAGUGAGGAGCAGCACUCGGGUUUCCUGACUCUACGC
rnacentral:lncRNA from 1 species